AACUUUCAACAACGGAUCACUUGGCUCUCCCAUCGAUGAAGAACGCAGCGAAAUGCGAUAAGUAAUGUGAAUUGCAGAAUUCAGUGAAUCAUAGAAUCUUUGAACGCACCUUGCGCCCUUUGGUAUUCCGAAGGGCAUGCCUGUUUGAGUGUCAUUAAUAUUAUCAACCUUGGCUUGCUUUAUUGUGAGCUUGAGGCUUGGAUGUGGGGGUUGCUGGCUUCCUUAAGUGGCGGUCGGCUCUCCUUAAAUGCAUUAGCGGGAUCUCUUGUGGACCGUCACUUGGUGUGAUAAUUGUCUUGCCAUCUGACUUUGAAGCAAAUUUAUGGGAACCAGCUUAUAACCGUCCGCAAGGACAAUAUUCUGACAACUUGACCUCAAAUCAGGUAGGACUACCCGCUGAACUUAAGCAUAUCAAUAAGCGGAGGCU
rnacentral:misc_RNA from 1 species